rnacentral:tRNA from 1 species
GGCUUUAUAGUAUAAAAUAAAACAUUGGAUUGCAAAUCUGAAGAUGUGGGUAGCCACUGGAGCUU